rnacentral:lncRNA from 1 species
AUUUCUGCUCUUCCACACCUAGGAUGCGGUUCUGCUCUGAGCAUCCAGCACCAGUGAGGCAAUCUGCUUUUCAUUUAUGGGCAGAGAAAAGCCACAGAGGAAGGAAUGAGGGAGGCCAUAGUUCUCAGAGUGUCGGAGGAGUUGAUGCAAUAAUAAUUCAAUUCCCCCUACUCUGAAAAGCAAGGCAGUCCAACCCGGCAGGAUGCCUGCAGCCAGGGCUGUAAACUCCAGCUCACCUCAGGCUACCUCCAGCUGAGCAAGCCCACACCAGAACCUGUGGGCCUGAACUCUUGCAGGGGAAGAGUUCAAACAGGGCCUUUUCCAGUUUGCAUCAUGUGGCAGAGCCCUGUAGCCAAUCAGCUGGAAGCGAGUUCCAGGUCUGGCGGCAUCUUUGCAGCCUCUCACCUGCCAGGAUUGCUCCCCCUGUGGUCUUCCUCUGCCUGCUUCCCAGGGCAGGGCUCCAUCCAGCGUCAUUUGAUGGAGCUUUCACAUGCCAUUCCCCAAUAAAAUAAAAUGCCCUGAAGUGACCCCGGCCCCCUGUACUCUUCCAUUCUCUGCCGGUUCCAUAGCAUCCAGCACAACUACAAGCCUCCCUGCAGUUGAUUAUAUCC